CCCACACUUCCGUUGCCGAGAUGCUUGUCUGCGACGGAUGCCCGAAAGAGACAAACUUUGCUGCCUGGCUCAAGGCAGUUUAAAUGUGAAGAACGUGAGUCUUCUAUGUUGCACACUCCUCCAGCGCUCUCUGCUGCUGAAGUGCAGAGCCUCGUUCCCAUAGACAGCAAAGCCCAACACUCCAAGGAAGAACAUCCGCACUGAGCCGAAGAAGAGAGUGUGGAACUGGCCGAUCACGGAUUCCACGAGCGGGUGAAGGGAUUGCGCUGUAUAUGCAUCACUUGGGGUGCUAGACGGCAUAUAGAUUUGGAGCUCAUCAGCAGCCAUCUUAUCAGACUUAAGGCCCACUCGACAAGAGAGAGCUGGAGUGAAGCUGAGCAAAGCCCCAGGAUUUAUGGACUGCUACACCCAGGGUAUAACUUCCGAUUGCUGGUGGCAGAUCGUGGAGUAAGAUUGCUCUGGACUUCUCAGCUGCUCCUGGAUGAACUAGAUAGAGCUCAGGAUACCUCCCUGAACCUGG
rnacentral:sRNA from 1 species